rnacentral:rRNA from 1 species
AAACAUCUUUUCUUGUUAGUUUUUGAAGUAUGGCCUGCCCGCUGACAUUUGGUGUUGAAGGGCCGCGGUAUUUUGACCGUGCAAAGGUAGCAUAAUCAUUAGUUCUUUAAUUGUGAUCUGGAAUGAAUGGCUUGACGAGGCACGGGCUGUCUUAGUGUUGAAUGUUUUAUUGAAUUUGGUCUUUGAGUUAAAAUUCUUAGAUGUUUUUGUGGGACGAGAAGACCCUAUAGAGUUUGACAUUUGGUUUAUUUACUUGUUUGUUGUUUGUUUAUUUUUGGUGAGUGGGCUUUUUGUUUUGUUGGGGUGAUGGGAGGAAUGUACUUAACUCCUCUUAGUUUUGGUUAUAUUGAUUUAUAAUUGUUUGAUCCAUUUAUUUUGAUUAUAAGACUAAAUUACCUUAGGGAUAACAGCGUUAUCUUCCUUGAGAGUUCUUAUCGGCAGGGGGGUUUGCGACCUCGAUGUUGGAUUAAGGUGAAUUUUUGGUGUAGGGGCUGAAAGUUGUAUUAGGUCUGUUCGACCUUUGGAAUCUUACGUGAU